rnacentral:rRNA from 1 species
UAGGGAAUAUUGCACAAUGGAGGAAACUCUGAUGCAGCGACGCCGCGUGAGUGACGAAGGCCUUCGGGUUGUAAAGCUCUGUUCUCUGGGAAAAAGAAAGUGAUUGUACCAGAGAAGAAAGGACCGGCUAACUUCGUGCCAGCAGCCGCGGUAAGACGAGGGGUCCAAGCGUUGUUCGGAAUUAUUGGGCGUAAAGCGGGUGUAGGUGGCUCUAUAAGUCAGGAGUGAAAUCCCCAAGCUUAACUUGGGAAGUGCUUUUGAUACUGCAGAGCUUGAAUGUGGGAGAGGAUAAUAGAAUUCCAGGUGUAGUGGUGAAAUACGUAGAUAUCUGGAGGAAUACCGGUGGCGAAGGCGGUUAUCUGGCCCAACAUUGACACUGAGACCCGAAAGCGUGGGGAUCAAACA